AUCACUUCUCGGCCUUUUGGCUAAGAUCAAGUGUAGAAAUAGAAUAUGAGCAUGCUAUAUAAUUAUAUCUUAAAAUAACAAGUUCUCAUGGUAUUUUUUAGAGAUUAAAAUAUUUAAUUCAACCUCAGAAAUUGUAAUUAGGUGCUUGGGUUUGGCAAGGGCAGAUUGGAUCUAACCUAGUGGCUUAGAUCCUAG